rnacentral:tRNA from 1 species
GUCCCAGUAGCUCAGUUGGACAGAGCGGCUGCCUUCUAAGCAGCGGGUCACGGGUUCGAAUCCUGUCUGGGACGCCA